rnacentral:piRNA from 1 species
UGUAAUUCGAGAAGUGCGUUU